AGUCUUGCACAGUGGCAGUAUCGUAGCCAAUGAAGUUUAUUCGAGGCGUGAUUAUUGCUAAUUGAAAACUUUUCCCAUAUGAUAUCACUUAAGUGUGGAAUCUUAAAAAAUGGUACAAAUGA
rnacentral:snRNA from 1 species